rnacentral:siRNA from 1 species
UGUACACUUACAGGGAAUGUAUA